rnacentral:piRNA from 1 species
UAAGAAGCACACGUCGCUUUAUGCUCUUA